rnacentral:rRNA from 1 species
AACGAACGCUGGCGGCAGGCUUAACACAUGCAAGUCGAACGCAUCCUUCGGGGUGAGUGGCAGACGGGUGAGUAACGCGUGGGAAUCUACCCAGUUCUGCGGAACAACAGUUGGAAACGACUGCUAAUACCGCAUACGCCCUACGGGGGAAAGAUUUAUCGGAAUUGGAUGAGCCCGCGUUGGAUUAGCUAGUUGGUGAGGUAAUGGCUCACCAAGGCGACGAUCCAUAGCUGGUCUGAGAGGAUGAUCAGCCACACUGGGACUGAGACACGGCCCAGACUCCUACGGGAGGCAGCAGUGGGGAAUAUUGGACAAUGGGCGCAAGCCUGAUCCAGCCAUGCCGCGUGAGUGAUGAAGGCCUUAGGGUUGUAAAGCUCUUUCAGUGGGGAAGAUAGUGACGGUACCCACAGAAGAAGCCCCGGCUAACUUCGUGCCAGCAGCCGCGGUAACAC